CCGAUCAUUCAUGCCUGACACAAGGCCAGCUCGAGCAAAAUCUAGAGUCGCUGUCUGUGAUCGUUCCCAUGAUGGCUAGACGAGCGAGCAUCAAUGUACAAGACAGAUUGGCCACCGUGCGGAACACGACGACGACGAGGCAACAAAUAUCGUAAGUGUUUGUAAUUUUCUUCCUGUCAUUUACAUUUUAGUUUCUAACUAAUUUUCGAUGUGCUAAUACAACACUGUUUAAUUGCAGGGGUGAUUGCGGCAUAUUCGUCAUCAAGUACAUAGAAUUUUUUAGUGUGGCACAUAAGGUUGAUGCAAUCAACCAGGCAUGGAUACAAAAUUGGAGAAAUAAACUUGCAUGUGAUUUAUUUGAAUUUAAU
rnacentral:lncRNA from 1 species